GUGUCGCGCCAGGCCCCCGCUAGCGGCUAGCCAAGCAAGCAGCAAGCAGUCGCAAUCCCGUCGCCUAACCAGCAUUGCUCGCCUUACCUUUUCACCCUCUUACAAAAUCGCAUCGAGGCUUCCGUCAGACGCAUAUAUUUGCCCCGUUCCAUCAACCGGUCCCUCCGACGUCGUUCGUCGUCGUUCGUCGUCGCCAUUGCCGCCGCCACCGCCGCCGCCGCUGUCGCCGUCGCCGUCGCCGUUGCUGCUACUGCCGUCGUCAUCGUCGCACACGCAGUACGUCGUCGUUAUUGCUCUCGCAAUCGUCGUCCAGUCGCGCGUGGAUUACGAAGCAGCGGUUCUUGUUAGAAAAGGGAAAUUGCGAGCGAAUACUAUUAACCAUUCGAAGGAAUUGAAACGGAGUCUCCCGCGAGAAUAUCGGACAAGCUGAUUAUGAGUUGGAACAGUGGAGCGGGUCAGCGAGCAUCCGGGCCAGCGUUUUUAAAGUGAGAACAAGUUUUCCGUGGUUUUGUGUCGUACCCGCGAGAUCCGUUGGAACAGUACAGUUGAGGAGUACCAAGGUUCGAGGAACCAGUGAACGCUCGCCGACCGCCUAACCUUACGUCUUGUCACGGUGACCGACAUCACGGCGAGAUCGCGGCUGAUACCUCCGCGUGUUCCGGCGCAAGAACAGCAGAAUCCGGAGUUCGACCGCGGGAGGAACCAGGAGUGCGCCGAAUAAAUGACGUAAAUCCGAGGAACGGAAACGCAACGUCACUCGCUAACUCGCAAUCCCCCUUCCCCCCACCGAACCUCACCCCUUUUCUGUCUUUCUCUUUUACCGUCUCCGUGUCUCCUCCCGUUCCCCCUUCGUCCAAUCCGCAACGACCCGGCCCGACCCCGAGAAUUCACGACCCAAACGUAGAACCGGACCUUUCUACCCUUGCCUUUUUACCCGCUUUGUCGCCUACCGCCUUGCUUACUCUCUUUACCAGCCUCCUUCUUCGGCUCCUUCUUCAGGGGAACAACGGUCUAUCCCUUCUUCUUCGUCGUCGUCGUCUACUUCCAUCCCCCUGGCCCGUCGAAGGAUAGCUAGGCUCAGCUUUCCAACAUUCGAGAACUCCUUUCUAGAUCCGUUCUCUACCUUCACGGAGUCUUUAGUCCUCUACUUCCUGGUCCAGUAGACACUACACACGAGAACACACGCUUCAGAACCGGCUUUAAGGACACCACGACCGGCUUUACGAAACACACACGUCCACGUGCAUACGUGCAUACAGUACCAACGCAUACAUACAUAGACGCGCGCGCGCGCGCGCGCAGAGAUAUCCGUCUCUACGUAAUAAAAACUCCGACGCGGGCAGCCAGCAACAGCCAGCUCUAUAUAUCGAUCAAAGAAAACAAAUUUGCGCCUAGAGAGCACAUACAUUAGACACACGUACACAGAAUACAGAUACACGUAUAUACGUACACACGCUCCCCGUGGUCGACGUUUAGCUUUGAAAGGCUUUCAAGCUUUGCCCAAAAAACUACUACGCUCUGGUUGCUACUACGCGCCUUCUAAAGCUCCUACGACGUGCAUUGCGAGAAGAUAUAACAGUGUGCUGCUGGAUAAAGGAAGAUCGAGAGAUCGGUAAAGGGAAUCAGGAAGGAUCCACGAUCUUCUUGGUCAACGGAAGCCGCAAGCAUCGCCUCAAUAAAACAAUAAAGAGCAAAGCAAAGCAAAAAGAAAAAGCAGUAUAUCGAAGCAAGAGCCUAAUCGCUGUCGAUAGAACGCCUUUUUACCUCUUCGCUUACUUUCUCGGUGAAAUUCUCCCAGUUCUCCGAGGAGAAGCACGUUCCUCUUCCGUCAAUCGCAAUCGCUGUAAUCUUGCUCGAACGCCUGCGCUGCCACGGUGUGAACAUCGUCAUCCAAGUCCGAGACCGUAACGCUGGAAGUAGAAGGGAAGAAAAGAAUCAGUGACCAAAAAAAAUAAAUAAAUAAAUAAAAAUAAAAAUACACGGAGGGCAGAAACGACACCGGCUACUCUUUCUCUUUCUCACUGUCUUCGCUGUCUAGCUAACCGCUAACUCGGCAAGCUAAGCUGCACUGUCUCUUUGUAGCGACUAACCGCUCCGGUCGAUAACGCAAACUCUGCGUGCGAUAAAGAGCGAGCAGCCGAUAACAACGGUGAUAUCGCACGGUCUAAGAAUAGUUUAGAAUCGCGAGGCGAGAAGUCUCCGACAAUCCCGAGCCUUUAAACACGGUGUUCGAUAAUAUACGCGACAACGAAUAGUAGGCAAGUUCAAGAAGAAUACGACGGGUCUGAUCCACGCGAGUUUAUUCACUCCCUAGUUACCUUUGUUCACUUCGUCGUCGUCGUCGCCGUCGUCGUCGUCGUCGUCGUCGUCGUCGUUGUACGGUUACGCGAGUUUUACGGUUCGUCGUCGUCGUCGCCGCCACCGCCACCGCCUACACGGAAGAUACAGUGAUCUGGAAGACCAACGGCUUGACAAGAGACACGUUCAUGGAACAAUAAGAUCGCACGCUACGCGAAGACAAUCUUCCAAAGAUCAGCUGGUGCGAGCGAACGUGAACGAACAGGCCAACGCUACGCCGAGAACAGGCCAGCGAAGGAAGAGGAUAAAUUGAAGUCGCUCGAAAGCGUGUGCCCCGGCUAAGGAGGAGUCUCGUGGUCUUCCAGGACUGGAAGGA